rnacentral:rRNA from 1 species
GUAGGUGGCAGAAUAAGUCUGAAGUAAAAGGCUGCAGCUCAACUGCAGUAUGCUUUGGAAACUGUUCAGCUAGAGUGCGGAAGAGGGCGAUGGAAUUCCAUGUGUAGCGGUAAAAUGCGUAGAUAUAUGGAGGAACACCAGUGGCGAAGGCGGUCGCCUGGUCCGUAACUGACACUGAGGCACGAAAGCGUGGGGAGCAAAUAGGAUUAGAUACCCUAGUAGUCCACGCCGUAAACGAUGAGAACUAAGUGUUGGAGAAAUUCAGUGCUGCAGUUAACGCAAUAAGUUCUCCGCCUGGGGAGUAUGCAUGCAAGUGUGAAACUCAAAGGAAUUGACGGGGACCCGCACAAGCGGUGGAGUAUGUGGUUUAAUUCGAAGCAACGCGAAGAACCUUACCAGGCCUUGACAUGGAGCUAAAGGCCCUAGAGAUAGGGAGAUAGAUAUAGCUCACACAGGUGGUGCAUGGUUGUCGUCAGCUCGUGUCGUGAGAUGUUGGGUUAAGUCCCGCAACGAGCGCAACCCUUGUCUUCUGUUACCAUCAUUAAGUUGGGGACUCAGGAGAGACUGCCGGUGACAAACCGGAGGAAGGUGGGGAUGACGUCAAAUCAUCAUGCCCCUUAUGGCCUGGGCUACACACGUACUACAAUGGCGGCUACAAAGAGGAGCGAAGAAGUGAUUUGGAGCAAAUCUCAUAAAGGUCGUCUCAGUUCGGAUUGAAGUCUGCAACUCGACUUCAUGAAGUCGGAAUCGCCAGU